GAUGAACGCUGGCGGCGUGCUUAACACAUGCAAGUCGAACGAAGCACUUAAGAUUGAUUCUUCGGAUGACGUCUUUUGUGACUUAGUGGCGGACGGGUGAGUAACGCGUGGGUAACCUGCCUCACACAGGGGGCUAACAGUUAGAAAUGACUGCUAAUACCGCAUAACCCGAUAGGAUCGCAUGAUCCAGACGGAAAAGAUUUAUCGGUGUGAGAUGGACCCGCGUCUGAUUAGCUAGUUGGUGAGGUAACGGCCCACCAAAGCGACGAUCAGUAGCCGGGCUGAGAGGGUGGACGGCCACAUUGGGACUGAGACACGGCCCAAACUCCUACGGGAGGCAGCAGUGGGGAAUAUUGCACAAUGGGGGAAACCCUGAUGCAGCGACGACGCGUGAGUGAAGAAGUAUUUCGGUAUGUAAAGCUCUAUCAGCAGGGAAGAAAAUGACGGUACCUGACUAAGAAGCCCCGGCUAACUACGUG
rnacentral:rRNA from 1 species